rnacentral:rRNA from 1 species
CAGUCGAACGGAGCUUAAAGAGCUUGCUUUUUAAGCUUAGUGGCGAACGGGUGAGUAACGCGUGAGUAACCUGCCCUAGAGUGGGGGACAACAGUUGGAAACGACUGCUAAUACCGCAUAAGCCCACGGUGCCGCAUGACACUGAGGGAAAAGGAUUUAUUCGCUUUAGGAUGGACUCGCGUCCAAUUAGCUAGUUGGUGAGGUAACGGCCCACCAAGGCGACGAUUGGUAGCCGGACUGAGAGGUUGAACGGCCACAUUGGGACUGAGACACGGCCCAGACUCCUACGGGAGGCAGCAGUGGGGGAUAUUGCACAAUGGGGGAAACCCUGAUGCAGCGACGCCGCGUGGAGGAAGAAGGUUUUCGGAUUGUAAACUCCUGUCGUUAGGGACGAUAAUGACGGUACCUAACAAGAAAGCACCGGCUAACUACGUGCCAGCAGCCGCGGUAAAACGUAGGGUGCAAGCGUUGUCCGGAAUUACUGGGUGUAAAGGGAGCGCAGGCGGGAAGACAAGUUGGAAGUGAAAACCAUGGGCUCAACCCAUGAAUUGCUUUCAAAACUGUUUUUCUUGAGUAGUGCAGAGGUAGAUGGAAUUCCCGGUGUAGCGGUGGAAUGCGUAGAUAUCGGGAGGAACACCAGUGGCGAAGGCGGUCUACUGGACACCAACUGACGCUGAGGCUCGAAAGCAUGGGUAGCAAACAGGAUUAGAUACCCUGGUAGUCCAUGCCGUAAACGAUGAUUACUAGGUGUUGGG